rnacentral:rRNA from 1 species
UGAUUUGAAGAGCUUGCUCAGAUAUGACGAUGGACAUUGCAAAGAGUGGCGAACGGGUGAGUAACACGUGGGAAACCUACCUCUUAGCAGGGGAUAACAUUUGGAAACAGAUGCUAAUACCGUAUAACAAUAGCAACCGCAUGGUUGCUACUUAAAAGAUGGUUCUGCUAUCACUAAAAGAUGGUCCCGCGGUGCAUUAGUUAGUUGGUGAGGUAAUGGCUCACCAAGACGAUGAUGCAUAGCCAAGUUGAGAGACUGAUCGGCCACAAUGGGACUGAGACACGGCCCAUACUCCUACGGGAGGCAGCAGUAGGGAAUCUUCCACAAUGGGCGAAAGCCUGAUGGAGCAACGCCGCGUGUGUGAUGAAGGGUUUCGGCUCGUAAAACACUGUUGUAAGAGAAGAAUGACAUUGAGAGUAACUGUUCAAUGUGUGACGGUAUCUUACCAGAAAGGAACGGCUAAAUACGUGCCAGCAGCCGCGGUAAUACGUAUGUUCCAAGCGUUAUCCGGAUUUAUUGGGCGUAAAGCGAGCGCAGACGGUUAUUUAAGUCUGAAGUGAAAGCCCUCAGCUCAACUGAGGAAUUGCUUUGGAAACUGGAUGACUUGAGUGCAGUAGAGGAAAGUGGAACUCCAUGUGUAGCGGUGAAAUGCGUAGAUAUAUGGAAGAACACCAGUGGCGAAGGCGGCUUUCUGGACUGUAACUGACG